rnacentral:rRNA from 1 species
UACGAAGGGGGCUAGCGUUGCUCGGAAUCACUGGGCGUAAAGGGUGCGUAGGCGGGGUCUUUUAAGUCAGGGGUGAAAUCCUGGAGCUCAACUCCAGAACUGCCUUUGAUACUGAAGAUCUUGAGUUCGGGAGAGGUGAGUGGAACUGCGAGUGUAGAGGUGAAAUUCGUAGAUAUUCGCAAGAACACCAGUGGCGAAGGCGGCUCACUGGCCCGAUACUGACGCUGAGGCACGAAAGCGUGG